AUACGGUCCUUGUGUUCUUGCCAAAUUGGUUCGACCCAGUGGAGAAAGCCCUUUUUUGGAUCUUUGGUUUGGACCAGGGUUAAUUCUUCACCUGGUGACAAGCUCAGUGAGUGAUUAUCCAAGGAUCAAAGCCAAAGAAUUGAACGUUUGAAGCAUGAGACAAAAAUGGAUGAGAGAUUAUUGAUAGACGAAGUUGUGAGCAUUCAUGAAAAUGUGGCAGCUCCUCCAUUGGCUGAGCUGGCAAGGAAGGAAGAAGGCAGCUGAUGAACAGAGAAGAUAAAGAAACCGAUAUAGUACUGGAGUCUUUUAGAUCCGCCAUGCAGAGUUUGCUGAUUCAGGCAGAAUUGUUGGGACUAGAACAGUUCAGGUGGCGCCAGAAACACCUAGUCCUCUACAAAUGAAAGAUUCUUUGCAGCCCGAUUCAGUUUUGUAUUAGAACUCGGAUGCUAGAAAGGCAGAGAGAGGCUGAGCAGUUCAAGAGAAAAGAAAACCUAUAAUCUGGUAGCAAAGGUCGGCUUCGAAAAG
rnacentral:lncRNA from 1 species